UAUCAGGUAGUAGUGGGUGUAGCGUACCUACUAGCCUACGACGGGUACGGGUUGUGAGAGCAAGAGCCCGGAGAUGGAUUCUGAGACACGAAUCCAGGCCCUACGGGGUGCAGCAGGCGCGAAAACUUUACAAUGCUGGAAACAGCGAUAAGGGAACCUCGAGUGCCAGGUUACAAAUCUGGCUGUCGUGAUGCCUAAAAAGCAUUGCAUAGCAAGGGCCGGGCAAGACCGGUGCCAGCCGCCGCGGUAACACCGGCGGCUCGAGUGGUAACCGUUAUUAUUGGGUCUAAAGGGUCUGUAGCCGGCCGGAUAAGUCUCUUGGGAAAUCUGGCAGCUUAACUGUCAGGCUUUCAGGAGAUACUGUCUGGCUCGAGGCCGGGAGAGGUGAGAGGUACUUCAGGGGUAGGGGUGAAAUCUUGUAAUCCUUGAAGGACCACCAGUGGCGAAGGCGUCUCACCAGAACGGACCUGACGGCAAGGGACGAAAGCUAGGGGCACGAACCGGAUUAGAUACCCGGGUAGUCCUAGCCGUAAACGAUACUCGCUAGGUGUCGGCCACGGUGCGACCGUGGUCGGUGCCGUAGGGAAGCCGUGAAGCGAGCCACCUGGGAAGUACGGCCGCAAGGCUGAAACUUAAAGGAAUUGGCGGGGGAGCAC
rnacentral:rRNA from 1 species